UCCCUACUCUUGACCUAUUGUACUGUACUACUUUCAAUACCAUAUACCAACAUUCAUAAACAACAGCAACCAUAUAUAUCUGGUUGUGGGCAUCAUAAAAAGGACAUACCCCAUACUGAGAGAGAGAGAGAGAGAGAGAGAGAGAGAGAGAGAGAGAGAGAGAGAGAGAGAGAGAGAGAGAGAGAGAGAGAGAGGAGUAUGUUUUCUUUUGUGUGGUGGUGCAUGCAUGAGAAACGCACACGUGUCACAGAUGUACCUAUAGACGUGUGUGUUGGGUUGGGACUGACUGCACAUUAUAGAUAAACAGCAAUCAUGAAAAGAAAGAAGAGAGAAAAAGGAAAAAUUAAAAUAAAAGAUUACAUCUUUUUUGUAUCUGCAUCUAUAUAUAUACAAAUUUUUUAUCUUAUUUAUUUUGUUGUUGUUCAUGAUGAGUAAAAUGUGCGUGUCCAAUUAAUAUUAUUAUUAAUUUUUAUAUAAUAUAUAUGAUAUAUAUACUAUACAUAUAGCAGAUAAUUAUUUUCUCAGAGAGGUUUUUUUGUUGGUAAUUUCAUAAAAAUUACUAUAUAUCCAUUAUUUAUAUAUAGAUAUAGUUGUGGUAGAUGUAGUAUUUUCUCAUAAAUUAUUUGUGUCUAAGUUAUAUAUAUAUAUAAUAAUAAUGGAUAGAUGAUGAUCUUGAUUGGUGGAAGAAGAAUGAACUGACAGAAGAGAGUGAGCACACAGAGGGCUUUUACAUAAAGAUUAUGUUAUUGCUUUUGCGUGCUCACUAUUCUAUCUGUCAGGUCAUAAUUAAUUAAUUUCACAAUUGAUUAUUUAUAUAUUCCUCUUUAUUAAUUCUAUCCUCCAUCAUCAUCAUCAUCAUCAUCCACUUUUCUUCUUCCAUCUUCUUUCCAUUAUUUUCUCUUGUGUUCUUGUUCGUUAUGGUGACGAUGAUGAUCAUUCCCAUUUAAUAAGAGUUUUAGAAUAAUAAAUUGUUGAGAGUUUGAUAACUAUGCAUUAAUUUUCCAUUUCAAUAAUAUGAAGAGAGGAUUAUCAAUACAUUACACUGAUCAUCCAAAGUUUCUAUAUACACAAGAUAAGUAUCUUUCAUCUUCUUAAUUUUACUUUCUGCUAAAUUAAUUAAGUACUACUUUUUUUUUAUAAUAAAAGUUAAGUAUUUAUUACCUCUUAUUACAACUUCUUAGUUAAUUUUCACGUUCAAAAUCACAUGUCAGAAUAUUUUUUUUCAUAGUGAUAUUCGUUAUAGUUACAGUAUCAUCCUUGUAAAUUUUUAAAAAAUUCCGAAUAGUUUAUAGUGCUGAAAAUAGAGUUCUUGAUAUUUCAGUUUACCACGCCUGUACAAAAAAAUUUCAAACGUAUUUUCAGCAUUGUAAAUUAUUCGAAAUUUUUAAAAAAUUUAUAAGAAUGAUGUUAAGCAUAACGAACACCGUGAGAAAAAAUAAAUUCUAAUAUGUGUUUUUGAACGUGGAAAUUGACUAAGAGAUUGUAAUAUGAGGUUGACAAUAACACUCGUCAUAUAUGUAUAUACUAUUUUUAUAUGUGUUGAUGCUAAUUUUAUUUGAUAAACGUACAAUUAUAUAUAAAAAAAAUGGAAAAUUCGUAUAAUAUAGGUGAAUUAAUUGUGUUGGUGUUAUUAUUAUAUAACAGUAAAUACAAUCUAGCUAGGUUUAUUUAUUUACUUAGUAAUUAAUAAACAAGUACUAGGUGUUUAUAUUUUUAUAAUAUACAAUUCAAUGUAUUUUUGUGUUAUGUAUAUAUACACAGAUCUAUUAUUUGAGUUUUCCGAUAUAUCUCAUAAUUGGAGUAAUUAGUUGUACGGUUUUAUAUAUACACACACAGUAUGUAAUCUAUGCAAUAUAAUUAAGUUUGUAUUUUUGAAUUAUUAUUAUAUAUAAGACAUGUUUGCUGAUAUCUCGUAGAAAUUAAUAAUUAUCUUUUUUAGAAGAUUUAAUAAUUAAUUUUAUAAUUAGUGAUUACAUACCCUGCAUGAAUAUAUUUAUUUAUAUAUAUAUAAACGGUACAAAUAUAUAUUAGACCAUUCAUUGGUAAUCAUAUAUAUAUAUAAUAAUUUGUGACAUAAAUACUUAAAUUUAAUUUCCAGUUGUAAAUAAGUACUUAAUUUUAAUUUUUAGCCGUAAUAAUACCUAGGUUAUAAUUCUGAAACUUUUGUAGGUACCUGACGGUUAAUUGUUAAGUAAAUUGCCACGUGGUAAUUCCUAAUUGGUCCAAGUUAUUAAAUUUUUAUUUUUUAAAAAAUUAAUUAAAAUAUACCAAUAAGAAAAUGACACAUGAAUAAUAACAUAAUAUUUUAACGGUUAGGUACCUAUAAAGUUUUAAAAAUAUAACAGUAUUAUAUAUUAUCGCCAAAAAUUAAACUUAAGUAUUUAUUUGUAAUUGAGAAUUAAACUUAAGUAUUUAUACAGCAAAUUACUUUAUAUAGUAUUGCAAAUGGGGUUACUAUUGAUGGACUAUAUAUUGUAUUACACACGUUAUUGUAAUGAAAACAUCUUUUUCUUUUUUUCAUUAUUAUUAUUAAUUGUUUAAGGACAUAUAUAUAUGGUGGUGAUCAAUCUUCCACUUCGUGUACAAAAUUUCAUUAUUAAUGAAGUAAUUAAUUAAUUUGUUGGUAAUGAAGUAAGAGUAUUGAUAAUAUACAUAUAUAUAUUUAUACGAUUACAUGUGGUAGGAUUUAAUUUUCUGGGACAUUAAUUAUUAAUAAUAUAUAAAUGCAAUGAUGUUAUAUUUAUAUAUGUUGGGUUUUUGUAUUAGUUUGACAGAGAGGUUUCAUUUCCACACACUCUGAUGUCUGUUAUUAAUUGAAGCCUCAUGCCCUCCUAUUUUAAAAAAAAAAUAUAUCUAUAUAUAUCCUCUUCACAGUUUUCACCUUUCAAUUACUUUCUUUAAUUAGACUUUUAUUUAUUUUAUUUUAUUUUUAAUAAAUUUUGAGUCUGCUUGUUCUUUCGUUUUCCCCUAUCUUUACACAACUUUUGUCAGACCCAUUUUAGAUCUCAACUGGAGUUGGAUGUUUAUGGAUUAUUAAUUACAAAUACAUUGAUUCUUUCCAAGCUUUUGACCUCUUCUUAUACUGAAUAUCUCUAUAUAUCUAGAUAUGGGAAAUAGGCUCAAAUGGAGAUCUAGUAUACUAAUUAAUAUAAUAAAAAUAAUAAAUUAAACAACUCCACAAGUUUAGCUUUAGCUACCACUU